UUUUUGUAUUUCUUCUCAGCCCUAAAAUGAAUAUUUUAAGGGCGGUGUUUCGUUGGUUAAUUAGAGAAGAAAUGAAGGGCGAAGAUGUCAAAUAUGAUGACAAUGACUGCCUCCUCAGAAGCAAAACCUUAUGUUGGCUCAAUGAUUUACCAAAGGAAACUUUCGAGAGAAAUUGUGAAGAGACGAAACCAGAACAACCGCUUCCUUGGCAGAAUUGAUGUGCAAGGAAUUAUCGGUUGGCUGGAUAACGUGCAGUUGUAGCUGUGCUUAUCGUCUCAAUAGCCAAAGCAACGAGGUUGCCACAUGCAGAGGAAGGGCUUAUCAAUUUAUACACAACAUAUUACGACGACAUGAAAAAUUCGUUAUGCUUAAAAAAAAAAAUGAUUGAAUAUUGUUUUAUGUCAAUAUGUACCAUUAAGUUAAAAAAAAAAAUAAAAACUUCUUCACGGAGGAUUUAUUUAAGUAAUAAAUGUGUCAUCUUCAAACGGUUAGAAAAAUAAUUUUUUACAUCAAAUAAAUAAAUUAAUAUACAGAGUGAGCAUUUAAAGUUUCAGUCAAAGAAAUGGUGAGGAAGACUGCUCUGGUGUCCGUUGUCCAUACCAUAUGUAAUUUUACGUGUAUUUAUUUAAAGCUUUUUUUUAAUAAUGAAGGUAUUAUUUACGGAUAGUUUGUAUUAUUAUUUUUUUGUUUAUUUAAUGUAAUGUUAUUAUGAUGAUUCAUAUAUCCAAAAAUGCGAUCCUCUGACGGAGAAAAGUAAGAACACGUGAUGGGGGCCCCAUUGGUUGCUUCGUCUAAAUGUCCAACAUCUUUCAUCACAAGUCGCAGAGAAAAGACCAAAAAUCAACCCUGUUUCGAAAUAAAAUUUAAUUUAUAUAAUUUUCCAAAAUGGUGUAAAAAGUUAAUUAGUGUGAGUUUUGAAUUUGUGAGUUAUUUUAGCUUCCCAAGUUGGGGUCCGAGCCUCGAGGGGCCGACCCGUGCCUGGGGAUUCAAAUACUACGCCCUGAGAGGUGUCAAAGCCUGCUCCCAGACCGCAACCCCUCCCGACACCGGCUCCUUUGGUUCCGGAGGAGACCUUAGGGCAUAUUAUUGCCAUGCAUGACAUCGGAUUAUAUGCCCAGCCGGUCGUUUCUCCCCCGUCUAUAGCCUCAAAGCUUCUCUUCUCCACACCGGAGAUGACCCACAUCAAACGGAUCUUCGCUGCCGGUCACAACUCCACCAUGGAACGCAUAAUUUUGGAGGCCUUGAGCGACCGCGAGAUGCCUCCGAGCGCCGGCGAGACAAAGCGGUGCGUGGCAUUGGCGGAGGCCAUGAUCGGCUUCGCGAAGAUCCGGUUGAUGUGGGUGUGUGGAGAAUGGAAGCUUAGCUAUAUAGGGGGGUAGAAACGACCGGUUGGGCAUAUUAUCCGCGAUGUCAUGCAUCGGAAGUCUGACCUUCCCCUCCUUCCGGAAAAAUGUGUCGGGUGGAGUAACAAAGGAGCCGCUGUCCUUCAUCCGAUGAUCUGGUUUGAUUUUUUUCCCCCCCCCUUGUCAGAGGUUUGGUAAGGAAGAGAAACCUUCUAAUUCUCUCAGAGGGUUAGAAGUUCGGUCUUGGUAAACCGAACUGGUUUGAGAUUUAGGGUUGUUACAAAACCCUUCUUCCUUCCUUUUUUUCUUCUGCGACUAUCGUGUUGGUUUUAGCAGAGAGCUGGUCUUCUUCUUCAUGGGAGAAGGUGAGAGAGAGAUGGGGAAAGGAGAAACCAAAGGCGACGGAGGCGAUCAGAGGCGGAGAAGUCGGCGGUCGGGGCUGUACCGCGACGGAGCAUCCAGGUUUAUUCGUUCCUCUUUUGUUUGGUUAUUUUCCCUGUGGUUUCUUUCUCGGUGGUGUUCCGACGAGCCCCGGUUUGUGGCUCGGUCGUCGGAGAUCGCCGUGUACAGUGCUUCUUAGUGUAAUGCCGGUGCCGCCCGGCCGAGACGUAGGCCCGAGAUUUAUCUCGGUGACUGAAGUCGUAAAAACUCUCCGUAUCUUUCAUUUCCGUUUUUCUGUUCUUGCGAGAGUUCGUUAUCGGAAUGAGUGACGGACUUGCAUCGGAGUGACAACGGCAAGGGAUCGACGUUAUUUACAAGAUCCCUGUAAUUGUUCAUCGGAGUAUAUUGCCAAUAUGUUGAUGAACACUUUGCGUUCGAUUACCACUUUGCGUAUGAAGAGGAAUACAGUGAAUGGAAAAAGGAGAAGAACAGAGGUUUCUCGUUGGAGGGAGAAACUGAUUCUGGAACGAUCAGUGAAGGAGAAAAUCUAAACUUUUCUGCGAAUAUCGGAACAAAUGUGUCGUGGGGAAAGUAGUAAAGGAGCCAUGGAUGGUACAGCCGCAAAUUCAAACAGAGAAGCCGACAUGCCAUUAGCCAAAGCCCCGAGGGAUUUACGCUAGUGACCGGUCGGGCAUGGAAGGAAACGAGAAGUCUGCGGUUAGAAAAUCCCCGAAAGUUGUUGGCGUGUGCUCUAGUGACCGGUCGGGCGAAAACGUGUCAACUUAUCCCCAUGCUUUUUAUCUGAAUCUCCCGUAAAUAUUUUUGUUUAUUCUUAAUCGUGAUUAAUUUUGUUUGAAUUGGUAAAUGGUUUUAAAAAUCCCCUUUA